UACGAAGGGGGCUAGCGUUGCUCGGAAUUACUGGGCGUAAAGCGCACGUAGGCGGGUCGUUAAGUCGGGGGUGAAAUCCUGGAGCUCAACUCCAGAACUGCCUUCGAAACUGACGAUCUUGAGUUCGGGAGAGGUGAGUGGAACUGCGAGUGUAGAGGUGAAAUUCGUAGAUAUUCGCAAGAACACCAGUGGCGAAGGCGGCUCACUGGCCCGAUACUGACGCUGAGGUGCGAAAAGCGUGGGGAGCAACAGGG
rnacentral:rRNA from 1 species